UACGUAGGGGGCAAGCGUUGUCCGGAAUCAUUGGGCGUAAAGCGCGCGUAGGCGGCCCGGUAAGUCCGUUGUGAAAGUCAAAGGCUCAACCUUUGAACGCCGAUGGAUACUGCCGGGCUAGAGUCCGGAAGAGGCGAGUGGAAUUCCUGGUGUAGCGGUGGAAUGCGCAGAUAUCAGGAGGAACACCGAUGGCGAAGGCAGGUCUCUGGGCAUUAACUGACGCUGAGGAGCGAAAGCAUGGGGAGCGAACAGG
rnacentral:rRNA from 1 species